CAUAAUGGAGUUGGGUGCGGAGGAAUGGCCCAGACCCAGGGCGUGGCCAAACUCGUGAACAGCUACAGCAAACAGGAACAUGGAGCUCCCUCCAGCAUGCACUCUCAGACCACAGCCUCUCUCUCAGCCUCUUCCCACCACAGAAGCUUCUUCCCUGGAGAUCCAGCUCCAGCGACUGAGGGCCUAGUUCCUCAUCGAUCUGCCUGGCUCCUGCUCCGGUCAAAGGCCCCACCCAGAAGAGGCAGUGACAGAGCCAGGCAACACAUCAGUGGGCAUGUAUUUCUGCAGAUGUUGAUCUAGUUUGUGGGAAUCUCUAACUAGGGCUAGCAACAUUGAAGACAGCAUUAUUGGAAAUGGCCUGGUGAAUUGAAAAGCAAGUUUCUCUAAGCCCCUGAGGGCUGAUACCUAAGUAUGGAAGCGGUAAACCCUAGGAGGCCUCAUUUACCUCUCAAACCUCUACUUCCUAUCCUGAUUUUACAGAGGGGGGAUUGAGGCCAAAUGCCCUGCCUGUGCACCCUCAAAACUGCAAAUGUCUGAUCAAUUUCCA